UACGUAGGUGACCAGCGUUGUCCGGAUUUACUGGGCGUAAAGCGCGGGCAGGCGGUCUGACAAGUCUGAUUUGAAAUCUCCGGGCUCAACCGGGAGAGGCCAUUGGAAACUGACAGGCUGGAGGGCAGUAGAGGUAGGCGGAAUUCCGGGUGGAGUGGUGAAAUGCGUAGAGAUCGGGAGGAAUACCUGUGGCGAAGGCGGCCUACUGGGCCGGACCUGACGCUGAGACGCGAAGGCGUGGGGAGCGAACGGG
rnacentral:rRNA from 1 species